CGUGUAGGCGGCUUGGAAAGUCGGAUGUGAAAGCCCUGGGCUCAACCUAGGAAGUGCAUUCGAAACUGCUGAGCUGGAGUCCUGGAGAGGAAGGCGGAAUUCUCGGUGUAGAGGUGAAAUUCGUAGAUAUCGAGAGGAACACCGGUGGCGAAGGCGGCCUUCUGGACAGUGACUGACGCUGAGAGCGAAAGCGUGGGGAGCAACA
rnacentral:rRNA from 1 species